GACGUAGGGCGCGAGCGUUGUCCGGAUUUAUUGGGCGUAAAGAGCUCGUAGGCGGUUUGUCGCGUCGGCUGUGAAAACUCGGGGCUCAACCCCGAGCCUGCAGUCGAUACGGGCAGACUAGAGUGCUGUAGGGGAGACUGGAAUUCCUGGUGUAGCGGUGAAAUGCGCAGAUAUCGGGAGGAACACCUAUGGCGAAGGCAGCUCGCUGGGACGUUACUGACGCUGAGACGCGAAAGCGUGGGGAGCAAACAGG
rnacentral:rRNA from 1 species